GGGGGAGGGUACUUCAGUCUGGGUGGUCACGGAGGGCUUCUCAGAGGAGGUAACCUUGAGCUGAACAGAUGUGAACUAUCCUGCCAUGGAGAGGCCUGGGAGAAGAACAUUCCAGGGGCGACACAGAGCGACUAGCAGAACUUCCAGACAGGAACAGUUUGGUGCCUUUUCCUUAAUUACACCCAGAGAGCACAGGAAAGUGGAUGCCUGCGAUAUUUAUUUUCUGCUCUGAGCCCAACACAGGUCAAAGCAAGGAGAAGGAGGAGAGGGCCUGGAUGAAGAAGUCCUUGAAGUAAUGAAAAGAAAGUAAUCCUGAUUGGCUUCAUCUAGAGCAGUUCAGAGGAGGAAGAGUGGAGAAUCAAAUGAAGCUGUCCCCAGGGCUCCGCUACUCCCCGCCUCCCCGUGGUAGCAGCGGAGAGUCCUUCGGGGCCCAUUGCAACUGGAUCCCUUGGGAGAGUGGAUGACACACACACCCCACCUCAUCUGCAGCACAGAGAAGUGGGGAAGGGCAUAGCUAGAGGGGAACAGAAAGGUGUCCAGGAGAUGGCAAGACAGUGGGAAAGAAAGGGACAGUGACAGCACAAGGAGAGACAGAAAGGCUGGGGAGGUGGGGAGGCUGUGAGAGGAGCAGCCCAGUCCCCUCUGCCCCUUCUCCACCUGCGCAGUGCACCUUCCCCAUAGACACAUCCUGUGUGGGCCUUCCCUCUGCCUUCUGCCUGAGCUGGACUCUGGGGGUCCUGGCAGGACCCUGGGUGGAGAGGAGAGGUGUGUAAUGGGGUAGCUCCUCCUCCAGAGGUCACCAUUCCUGUCCCAUGCUCUUUAAGCCAUCUUGAGCUCCACACUCAGGUAAGGAUGCCUGGCCCGUCCCAGCAGCCCCAGAAUGGGAACAGUCCUGCUGCUACUAGACCCGGAGUGAUAGCCCUCCUUCUGGGGCCCCCCUUG